rnacentral:rRNA from 1 species
UCAGAACGAACGCUGGCGGCGUGCUUAACACAUGCAAGUCGAACGCGAAAGGGACUUCGGUCCUGAGUAAAGUGGCGCACGGGUGAGUAACGCGUAGAUAACCUGUCUUCAUGUCUGGAAUAAUACGCCGAAAGGGGUACUAAUACCGGAUAUUCUUGCUUUUCAUAAGUUAUGCAAGCAAAGGUGGCCUCUGCAUAUGCUACUGCAUGAAGAGGGGUCUGCGUACCAUUAGCUAGUAGGUGGGGUAAUGGCCUACCUAGGCGACGAUGGUUAGCGGGUCUGAGAGGAUGAUCCGCCACAUUGGCACUGGAACACGGGCCAGACUCCUACGGGAGGCAGCAGUGAGGAAUAUUGCGCAAUGGGGGAAACCCUGACGCAGCGACGCCGCGUGAGUGAGGAAGGCCUUCGGGUCGUAAAGCUCUGUCAAGAGGAAAGAAGUGUACAAUGGCUAAUACCUGUUGUAUUUGACGGUACCUCUAAGGGAAGCACCGGCUAACUCCGUGCCAGCCGCCGC